rnacentral:rRNA from 1 species
GCGGCGGACGGGUGAGUAAUGUCUGGGAAACUGCCUGAUGGAGGGGGAUAACUACUGGAAACGGUAGCUAAUACCGCAUAACCUCGCAAGAGCAAAGAGGGGGACCUUCGGGCCUCUCGCCAUCAGAUGUGCCCAGAUGGGAUUAGCUAGUAGGUGAGGUAAUGGCUCACCUAGGCGACGAUCCCUAGCUGGUCUGAGAGGAUGACCAGCCACACUGGAACUGAGACACGGUCCAGACUCCUACGGGAGGCAGCAGUGGGGAAUAUUGCACAAUGGGCGCAAGCCUGAUGCAGCCAUGCCGCGUGUGUGAAGAAGGCCUUCGGGUUGUAAAGCACUUUCAGCGGGGAGGAAGGCGGUGAGGUUAAUAACCUCGAUUGACGUUACCCGCAGAAGAAGCACCGGCUAACUCCGUGCCAGCAGCCGCGGUAAUCGGAGGGUGCAAGCGUUAAUCGGAAUGACUGGGCGUAAAGCGCACGCAGGCGGUCUGUUAAGUUGGAUGUGAAAUCCCCGGGCUUAACCUGGGAACUGCAUUCAAAACUGACAGGCUAGAGUCUUGUAGAGGGGGGUAGAAUUCCAGGUGUAGCGGUGAAAUGCGUAGAGAUCUGGAGGAAUACCGGUGGCGAAGGCGGCCCCCUGGACAAAGACUGACGCUCAGGUGCGAAAGCGUGGGGAGCAAACAGGAUUAGAUACCCUGGUAGUCCACGCUGUAAACGAUGUCGAUUUGGAGGUUGUGCCCUUGAGGCGUGGCUUCCGGAGCUAACGCGUUAAAUCGACCGCCUGGGGAGUACGGCCGCAAGGUUAAAACUCAAAUGAAUUGACGGGGGCCCGCACAAGCGGUGGAGCAUGUGGUUUAAUUCGAUGCAACGCGAAGAACCUUACCUACUCUUGACAUCCAGAGAACUUAGCAGAGAUGCUUUGGUGCCUUCGGGAACUUGAGACAGGUGCUGCAUGGCUGUCGUCAGCUCGUGUUGUGAAAUGUUGGGUUAAGUCCCGCAACGAGCGCAACCCUUAUCCUUUGUUGCCAGCGAUUCGGUCGGGAACUCAAAGGAGACUGCCGGUGAUAAACCGGAGGAAGGUGGGGAUGACGUCAAGUCAUCAUGGCCCUUACGAGUAGGGCUACACACGUGCUACAAUGGCGUAUACAAAGAGAAGCGACCUCGCGAGAGCAAGCGGACCUCAUAAAGUACGUCGUAGUCCGGAUUGGAGUCUGCAACUCGACUCCAUGAAGUCGGAAUCGCUA